AUAAACAUGCUCUGUGAGUGGGAGAAUUCGAAUGCUGCAUGCCAGCUGACUUUCUGUCACCCACACUGACCCUCUCAAUACUGCAUGCUGAGCUCCACUAACUCCCAUACUAUGUAAUUGAUGGAGUGGAACAAACUUCACAGCAAGUUAAAUGCAGACUUUAUUCAAGCUCCAAGGGACUUGGAAAGACCUUCAGCCCAGUCAGCCCAGAUGAGCCCACCUCUGUGAGCCCCUUGAUUUGGAAUGGCGGCUUGUAUGUCUGUGUCAACAGGAAGCUCACUGCAUUGUGACUCAGGUGAGGAGGCCUGCCCUGGGAGCAAACUCCUCUGCAGCCAUCAUCACGACAGGCACAGCACAAGGGUAAGCCCUGGACCAAGCCACAAAGGUAGCAAGAUUGGUUUUCGGAGUUUCUCGUAGGCUGUUCUUCUUGCCUUCUGUCACACUCACUCCAUCAGGGCCUGUUUGCUGCCCAGAUGAGCCACACACAUCGGCUGGAUGAAAUGAAACUUGCCCUUCUUGUCCUACAUGUCUGUAUCUAAAAGUAUACAUUUUGGAAAGAGGCCUUAUUAAUCUAAAUACUUUUUAUUUUAAGGUUCCACAUUUUCCCAAAUGUAUGAGCCUCUAACCUAAGACAUGUCCAAAAGUUCUUUACUUACAGGGACAUGAUCUAGGGGCUUAGAGGGCCCUGGAAAAGUAAGAUAAUAUAUUUUAAAGACCCAAUUUUACACAAAAGAACAAAAAGAGGAAGAACUAUAGCAGAAUGCCACUGCUGUGGAUUCAGACUUCACCUCCCUGCCCACGGAGAUGAUUGAAGGGGAAAAAGGACAGAACAUGAAACUAACAAGCUUGAGGCCUUAUCAGUGUCUAUAUUGGCAAAUUGAGGAGCGAUGCACUCCCCAAGUUCCAGGAAGUGUUUACGAGUCAGCGCGUGAUUUCCUGUGCUCACGCCCAUGGCUGCCACAUCUGGGGAAGCAUGUGUUGACGUGGAGCUGCCACAAGAUCAGCACCUCCUGGAGUGAUGGGCUGCAGCCCCGAGAAGGUGGCCCUGGAGAGUUCUGGGAGCCAAAGCAAAAGUGGCAUGAACAAGAAAUACAUUUUGCUGUGCCACAUCAGCUGAAUGUUUUUCUACCAAUGCAUAAGAUCUACCAGCCACAGACAGGCACUGUUUUUAGAUGGUCUUGAGGCAUCUCAUUUUACAAAGGAUAUAGAAACAGACGGAUGCUAUAUAGAAACUGGUGGAGUGGGGUGGAAGAGAAGACAGAAGACAAGGGUUAUAAUUUAAUCAUAUAAACUCUGGAUGCAAUAACCAAGGUCUCCCCAGAAAGCUGUCAGUGUAUACUUGUGUGGUGAGUAGAUUUCUAAUCAGCUCUAGAAGGGUGGCCAAACACAGCUAAACUGUGUCUUUUAGUAGCAGGAAAAGCAUCUGCUAUAGUUUAGAUGUUUGUCCCCCAAACUCCAUAUUGAAAUUUGACCCCCAAUAUUGGAUGGGGGCCUAAGGGGAGGUGUUUGGAUCCUGAGGACAGAUCCCUCAUGAAUGUCUUGGUACUGUCCUCACAGUGAAGAGUGAGUUCUCACACUAUCAGCUCCCUUGAGAAACUGGUUGUCAAAACAAGCCUGGCACUCCCCAUCCCCUCACCACGUGGUCUCUGCACACACGAGCUUCCAUUCACUUUUCAUCAUGUAUGGAACCAACCCGAGGACCUCAUUGGAAAGAGAGUGGAUGCUGGCACCAUGCUUCUUGUUCAGCCUGCAGAACUGGGAGACAACAUAAACCUCUUUCCUUUAUAACUUACCCAGACUUGAGUAUUUCUUUGUAGCAAUACAAACAGACAAAGCAUCUGACAAGCAAGUUGUUCAAUGAAGAGAUUGUUAGAGCCUGGGGAAGAGUCAUCAUGUUCAAUUGGUACAAGAUGCAAUUAACUAAUAUGAUUUGGGACAGCUGUCUCCAUUGAGGUCACCAGGGUGUCAUGGAGUGAAGCUUCAGGAGGAAGAGCUGACUACUUCCUACCCUGGGCUCCAUUUUUGUCAGGGCUCUACAGAGAGACAGAACUGACAAGAUAUAAAGAGAGGAAUAAAACAAAAAUCCAGAUAUUUCUAUAAAUCCGAUUAUUUGCCAAAUUAAAUGUGAAAGCUUGCCUCUAUCUCUUUCCAUUGUGUGCAGAUAUUUUGCACAGUGUGGAUUUGGUCUCUAGGUGUGAGUGUGCCCUGGACACAAUGCAUAGUAGACAGACAUUGUGCUUCGUUGUAGACACUGUGCUAGGCACGUAUUACACAUUGCCCCAAAUCCUUAUCACAAACACAUCAGGAGUAUGAUGGCCAAGGAGGAAGCUGUGGCUCAGCCCAUUGAGGCUGUAUAUCCAGGGAUCAACAGCCAGUAAGUGGGUGUGCUGACUCCCAAGGCCAAAGCCCACCUACUUGCCAGGUAACUUUCUAGGGAUAUGAAGGCAUUCUAUGUUAUGAUGGUGUGUGUUACAUGAGUGUAUCUGUCUACCAAAAGUGUGCUUCCAUGAUUUAUGCAAUCAGAUAUGGGAUAUAAUGGUAACUCAUGUUUUUACCCAAGGAUUUUUUCAUCACCAUAAAACAUCACUUCUACUCAGCUUUAUUCUAAUGAUUUGAGGCAGAGUUUAAAAAUCUGUCAAAAUUAAAUAUAUUUUUAACAAAGUGAAGACAUCUAGACAAACAGACAAUGGGGUAGGAAAGAUGGAGCUAAAACCAGGGCUGAGUUUCAUUCACAGAUGGCUCGAGGUCCUACUCAAUUACUAGAAAUGGGCUAAAUAUUCACCUCUAAGCUUUCCAAUAAGCAACACAGUAGGAACAAUAUCAACGCAAUAGGCCUCAGAGUCCAUGAGAAAUAAACUAAACAGUUGCUUAGGGAAAGCAGAGCUAUUUCUGGUAAGAAAUUCAGAGAGAGUUUUCCUUUGAGUCUUCAUAAAGAAGACACUCUUCGAUGUAGGGCGCAGCAUUAACUACAUUCUUAUGCAAGUUGUAAAGGCUAAAUCUCAUAAAAUAUUUUAAUAUAGGCCAUAACACCAAGCAGCAAAAAUAGAGAACUAGAGGAUGGGGAGAUGGAAUUUGCUGUGUUUGGAAAUUAAUACGAUUAUUGGUUUUCUGUGUUCUCACUUAAUCCAGGGUUUUAAGGAAUCUAGAGAAAAAUCAGGAUUGAUGUUUUUCAUUAGUGCGUUUUCUUACAACUAAAGCUCUUGAACGCUCUGGGUGGUGGGGAGUUUGGGUUGCACUUGGCUUGUGAUGAGUUUCCCAGGGAGAUGCACUUCUCAGCUGGACCACCUGAGCACACCACCAGGAAAAGCUUUUGGGUAACCCCGGAGGCAGGAAAAUUUCCUAUGGGUGCUUUAUUCAGCUGUAGUCCUAUAAUCAGCCUUUCACAUAAUUUGAUAGAACUGACCAAUGUGAAAUGAAACUGUUAAUAAGAUCCCAAACUCUCCAGAGAAGAGGACUCUCUAUGGCUAGUAGAAACACCCAAAUUAAAAUAAUGGAAACCCAAUGGCCAUAGUUAGAGAAGGGUGGUCACGUGCCUUUUGUUUCUGAAGAGGGCAGUUCCAAACAAACAUGCUGUCUGUGCCUCUGAGCUAAGACAGUUCUUGUAAAGGGAGCUGAGGCACCAUGGCUGGAAAUCUCCUCCAACCAGCCUGAAAGGGCAUCCAAUAGACACUUAUGGUUUGGGGUUUAGAAAGUACCCAGUCAAGACUGUUAUUUUCAACCAAUCAGAAUUGAAUGUGUUCAAAUCAUUCAUUUACAUAUACAGACCUGAUUGAAGACUGUGACAGGAAUUUUCUUUAUUUAAGCCAGACCCUUUCUUUGUUCUCCAGAAUGUGCUUUUGUUUUCCACCAAAGCCUGUGUCUUCCCGAUACCUAGA
rnacentral:lncRNA from 1 species